rnacentral:lncRNA from 1 species
GAGAGCAGGGUCUGGCAUCCACAGUAGCCUUGGUGGUCCAACCUGAGGCACAGGUUAAGUUGCCCAAGUACUAGCUAUGUCAACCAUAUUAAUGAAAUUUGAUCAAGGGGUUCCAGAAUAUAUGAGAAAACACACCCUUGAGAUUUUGCAAUGUUUCAUAAGAACAAGUGUAUCGGGUUUCCAGGCAGCCCUUGCUUGCUUGACUUGACUCAACAUUGGCUAAGUUGUGCUAUUGCCAAAGAGAGAAGUCACUGGGAGCCAUACAGGUAGAUGUGGCCUCACGGGCACUCUCUGCUUCCCACAAUGAAUACACAUUUUCUGUGGACUCCGCAGGAGCAGCAGAUGUCCUUAUCCCUGAGAACAGGACUUGGCUUCCCUAGAUCCUUCCAAAUAAGUGGUACCGGAAGACAAUGCUCCAAAGAAAGCUCUGGGCAAUUCCCAACAGUAUUGAAUGAUCAGCCUGCAAGGGAGUCGGUCAUGCCCUGCAGUGCACUCACCUAUCUCGGUGGCCCAGCCUUUUCCUAGUCAACAGGGAUGGUCUCAUCAUAGAAAUAUUCAUUCUCCAUUGUUUCUUUAAGAGAUUGCUGUAAAUUUAAAGCCAGUAAUAGCUUCAAAUGACACAGAUUUAGAAUUUUAAAUCAUUUGCAGUGAUGUCAAGGUGUCUGCAGAGUUGCAGUUUUGCGGAGGUUUCAUAGGAGGUUGGUUUUUGAUUUUUUGUUUGUUUGUUUUAGACAUUUAUAUUCUUGGAGUAACCCUUGUACCUUUUUCUCCAAAGUACAUCUCUGUCAUCAUCACCACCACCACCAC